GAUGAACGCUGGCGGCAGGCUUAACACAUGCAAGUCGAACGAGAUCUUCGGAUCUAGUGGCAGACGGGUGAGGAACACGUGGGAACAUCCCUUUCAGUUCGGAAUAACGUUGGGAAACUAACGCUAAUACCGGAUACGUCCUUCGGGAGAAAGAUUUAUCGCUGAAAGAUUGGCCCGCGUCUGAUUAGCUAGUUGGUGAGGUAACGGCUCACCAAGGCUACGAUCAGUAGCUGAACUGAGAGGAUGAUCAGCCACAUUGGGACUGAGCCACGGCCCAAGCACCUAUGGGGGGCAGCAGUGGGGAAUAUUGGACAAGGUGCGCAAGCCUGAUGCGGCGAUGCCGCGGGAGUGAUGACGGCCUUAGGGGUGUAAAGCUCUUUUGUCCGGGAAGAUAAUGACUGUACCGGAAGAAUAAGCCCCGGCAAACUUCGUGCCAGCCGCCGCGGUAA
rnacentral:rRNA from 1 species